GCUCUGCAUGCCCGGAUCCCAGUGUUCGUGCCGUGACAAUAAAUGUGGAAUUAGGGGCCCCAAAAUGCCCAGGGGUGGGGCAGUGGGGGUGGAGGAGGAAGGGAGCGGGAGCUGCCAGAACAGAGAGCUGAUUUCAUCUCAUCUUUCUGGGCGAAGAUGCCGUGUCUGCUGUGAACGAGGUUGCAGCUGAGUCUAGAGCCUCUGGUCAGAUGGGAAUUUCAGAUAAACAGCAGGAUGGGGGUGUGAGGACGUCCCUGCAGUAUUGGCUGGCCUGGACCCACACGGCUGUUGCUGCCAGAGCACCAGGGCAGGACCCAUCUCCAGGGAGAGGAGGGACUGCCCGCCCUGAGGAGCCAAGAGAGGAGCCACUGCAGGGGAGGCCAAUCACCCAGGCACCUCCCUGACCACUGCCAUGUGCAGGCCCAGCUCAGGCCUCUCUGCAGAGGAGCCUGUGUCUCCUCUGGGAUGAAGGAGGGUGGAGAUGAGGGUACCUCGGUGCUGGCUUCGUCUGUGGGUCAGAAAGGCAAGAACCAGGACCUUUGGAUCACGAUGUCCUGCAGGAACCCAGGAGCCAGGUCGGUCUCGAGUGUUCUGGAAACCAUCUCCGCAUGUUGACCAGUGGUCUGGUCCUCUGAUCACAGUUGAAGUUGUGACCAGCUGGGUCCAGGGAGGGAGCCUGCGAGGAUACAGCUGCGAGGACAGCCUCCGGGCUGGUCAGUCCCGAGUCUCUCUUGGCUUGUCUGUUCUCUGUCUGUCUCUGCCUCUCCCUCUCUCCUCCUUUUUGUCCCUCCCUCUCUGCCUCUCUGUCCCCAUCUUCACUUGGCCAUCCCUCUGCCCAUCUCUAUUCAGGGCACUGUCCUUGGGUUCAUGCAGGGUGAUCUCAAGACUCUUUUUACCAAACAGCGUCCCUCUCGCCACUUCCAGGUGGAUGUACUUCUGGGGGCUGUGUUCUCACUAUAGGAACGACGUAGGGGAUUUUGACCAACGCCACAGUGACCUAGAAUUCACGCUAAACAAACGGUGUAAGAGCUCUGGAGCCGUGAAGAGGAAGCACCAGACAGGAUUCCCCUGGAAAGGACACAGCUGGUGCCCGGGAGCCGCCUGUGCCUCCAAGGAGAUCCUGACCCUCUCUGAACCCCCUUGGCAGGAGGGGUGGGCAUUUCAACAUGAAGUGAAGAGACAGACAAGAGGAGAAAACUGA
rnacentral:lncRNA from 1 species